rnacentral:rRNA from 1 species
AGAAUGAACGCUGGCGGCGUGCUUAACACAUGCAAGUCGCACGAGAACUCUUCUGCUUGCAGAAGAUAGUAAAGUGGCGCACGGGUGAGUAACGCGUGGGUAAUCUACCUCUGAAUUGGGGAUAACAUUGUGAAAGCGAUGCUAAUACCGAAUAAUAUCCCGAGAACCUAGGUUUUUGGGAUCAAAGGUGGCCUCUACAUGUAAGCUACUGUUUAGAGAUGAGCCCGCGUACCAUUAGCUUGUUGGUAGGGUAAUGGCCUACCAAGGCAACGAUGGUUAGCUGGUCUGAGAGGAUGAUCAGCCACACUGGAACUGACACACGGUCCAGACUCCUACGGGAGGCAGCAGUGAGGAAUUUUGCGCAAUGGGGGAAACCCUGACGCAGCAACGCCGCGUGAGUGAUGAAGGCUUUCGAGUCGUAAAGCUCUGUCAAGUGAGAAGAACCUGUCCCGCGGUAAUACCGCGGGAUACUGACGGUAUCACUGAAGGAAGCACCGGCUAACUCCGUGCCAGCAGCCGCGGUAAUACGGGGGGUGCAAGCGUUAUUCGGAAUUAUUGGGCGUAAAGGGCGCGUAGGCGGUCUUUUAAGUCAGAUGUGAAAGCCCGGGGCUCAACCCCGGAAGAGCAUUUGAAACUAAUGGACUUGAGUAUGGGAGAGGGAAGUGGAAUUCCUGGUGUAGAGGUGAAAUUCGUAGAUAUCAGGAGGAACACCGGUGGCGAAGGCGACUUCCUGGACCAAUACUGACGCUGAGGCGCGAAGGCGUGGGGAGCAAACAGGAUUAGAUACCCUGGGUAGUCCACGCAGUAACGGUGAACACUA